CGAAGAAAAGCCGCCACAACAGCUAAGGUGGUUAUCACCCUGUAUGGAUCAGAGGGACGGAGUGAGCCCCAUCACCUUUGUGACCUUCAGAAGGCAGUCUUUGAGCGAGGGGGACUGGAUGUCUUCCUCCUCAGCACUCAGUCCUCCCUCGGGGAGCUGCACGGCCUGUGGCUCUGGCACGACAAUCCAGGGGCCAGCCCUUCUUGACACCUGUUCUCCACCCUUAUUGUGGAAAAGCUCACCCAGGAUUAUCUGUGGCUGUCAGUCUUAACUCGACAUCCCUGGAACCAGUUUACGAGAGUCCAGAGGCUCACUUGCUGCAUGACGUUGCUUCUGUGAAACGUGGUCGUCAGUGUUAUGUUCUGGAAGAGAAGCAGCACCACUGCCAAGAGAGAUGAGCAAGUGGGUCCAUUUCCUGUGACCUGGUCUCAGCUGAUCGUCAGCAUCCAAACUGCUGUCCUCCUCUUCCCAGUCAAUCUUGUAAUUGGGCGCCUCUUCCUGCUGAUCCAGCCACAGGAACCCCUGCCUAUCUUUUCUCCCAGCCAAGCCUCCUGCCCCUCAGAGGCAACUUUGGAGCCUCUGUCUCUCACGAAGGUGGCUGAGGAAUUAAAGGAGACUGUGGUAUUCCUGCUCAGGAGAAACACCUACCUACUGUCAGAGUGGGAACAAUCUUUAUGGACGUCUCACAGCAUUAGCAAGAUGGCACAGCUCUUAGCCAGGCUCAUCUGUUCUCACUUGAAGGGUCACGGCUCUCAUCAGCAAGCAGUACCCCAUCAGGCAAAUGGUAAACCUCCGCAGGUUUUAGUAACCGAUCUGUUAUCUGCCUCCCACUCCCUUGCCUGCCUCUUAGU